rnacentral:misc_RNA from 1 species
UUUCCGUAGGUGAACCUGCGGAAGGAUCAUUAUUGUACAAAAUGUGAGAGGCAUGUGAGGGCUGUCGCUGAUCAACAAGUUGUGCACGCUUGAGUGUGUUUUUUUGCAUAAUAAUAAUCAUCACUCUUUGUGCAUUACCGCGAGGGCACCCCACGGGAAUAUCUAGGAGGAGGGCAUGCGCUUUCUUUUAAAUCCCUUUUUUAAAAGUGUAGAAUGAUCACAUUUAUGCAAUCAAUACAAAUUUCAACAAAGGAUCUCUUGGCGAUCGCAUCGAUGAAA